rnacentral:misc_RNA from 1 species
GUGAAUCAUCGAAUCUUUGAACGCAAAUUGCACUCUCUGGUAUUCCGGAGAGUAUGCCUGUUUGAGAAUCAGUAAAUUCAUCAACCGCUCUAUUGCGGUUGGAUAUGGGCCUUUUCGUGGUGAAGCUUCGGAAUUGGGUCGUCUUUACCUAUCGGUUAAGUGACCUAAAAUUUUUGUAUGAUAUCUGAACGUAUUUAAAUUUAUUUGGUACGUUUUGUAAUAUCAAAUAUUUAUUAGGUGUGGUCAUCCUAAUGAUUCACGUCUAUAAUUUUUCAUCUAAUGACCUCAAAUCAGGUAAGAG